GGAGCGAGCGUUGUCCGGAAUUACUGGGUGUAAAGGGAGCGUAGGCGGGGCGGCAAGUCAGAUGUGAAAUACGGCGGCUCAACCGUCGGGGUGCAGUUGAUACUGGACGUCUUGAGUGCACACAAGGAUGCCGGAAUUCAUGGUGUAGCGGUGAAAUGCUCAGAUAUCAUGAAGAACUCCGAUCGCGAAGGCAGGUGUCCGGGGUGCAACUGACGCUGAGGCUCGAAAGUGCGGGUAUC
rnacentral:rRNA from 1 species